GACGAACGCUGGCGGCGUGCUUAACACAUGCAAGUCGAACGGAAAGGCCCCUUUGGGGGUACUCGAGUGGCGCACGGGUGAGUAACACGUGAGUAACCUGCCCUUGACUUCGGGAUAACUUCAGGAAACUGGGGCUAAUACCGGAUAGGAAUCCUUGCUGCAUGGUGGGGGUUGGAAAGCUUCGGCGGUUUUGGAUGGACUCGCGGCUUAUCAGCUUGUUGGUGGGGUAGUGGCUUACCAAGGCUUUGACGGGUAGCCGGCCUGAGAGGGCGACCGGCCACAUUGGGACUGAGAUACGGCCCAGACUCCGACGGGAGGCAGCAGUGGGGAAUAUUGCACAAUGGGCGGAAGCCUGAUGCAGCAACGCCGCGGGCGGGAUGACGGCCUUCGGGUUGUAAACCGCUUUCAGCAGGGGCGAAGCUUGUGGUGACGGUACCUGCAGAAGAAGCACCGGCUAACUACGUG
rnacentral:rRNA from 1 species